rnacentral:rRNA from 1 species
GAUGAACGCUGGCGGCGUGCCUAAUACAUGCAAGUCGAGCGAACAGGCGAGGAGCUUGCUCCUCUGACGUUAGCGGCGGACGGGUGAGUAACACGUGUAUACCCUACCUAUAAGUCUGGUAUCACUUCGGGAAACCGGAGCUAAUACCGUAUAAUAUAUUGAAGCGCGUGGGUGAAUAGUGAAAUACGGUGUUGCUGUCACUUAUCGAUGGAUCCGCGCCUCAUUAGCUAGUUGGUCAGGUAACGGCUUACCAAGGCUACGAGGCGUAGCCGACGUGAGGGGGGGAUCGGCCACACUGGAAGUGAGACACCGUCCAGAGGCCUACGGGAGGCAGCAGUAGGGAAUCGUACGCAAUGGGCGAAAGCAUGACGGAGCAACGCCGAGUGAGUGAUGAAGGUCUUCGGAGCGUAAAACUCUGUUAUUAGGGAAGAACAAAUGUGGAAGUAAAUAUGCCCUUCUUGACGGUACCGAAUCAGAAAGCCACGGCUAACUACGUG